UACGUAGGGUGCAAGCGUUAAUCGGAAUUACUGGGCGUAAAGCGUGCGCAGGCGGUUUUGUAAGUUUUGUCGUGAAAGCCCCGGGCUCAACCUGGGAAUUGCGAUGAAGACUGCAAGGCUUGAAUCUGGCAGAGGGGGGUAGAAUUCCACGUGUAGCAGUGAAAUGCGUAGAGAUGUGGAGGAACACCGAUGGCGAAGGCAGCCCCCCUGGGUCAAGAUUGACG
rnacentral:rRNA from 1 species